rnacentral:sRNA from 1 species
CGCCUAAACUCUAUAGUUCGCUAUACGGCAUGGCACUCAUAUCCGUGCAAGGUAGUAAGCUCUCCGCUUAGUUGCCUUGCACGGUCGUAUCUGGAAACAGAUACGGGUGGCCGUAAGGCCAUC